UACGUAGGUGGCAAGCGUUGUCCGGAUUUACUGGGCGUAAAGGGCGUGCAGGCGGUUUGUUAAGUGCAGGGUGAAAGCUCCCGGCUCAACUGGGAGAGGUCCUUGCAUACUGGCAAACUCGAGGGAGGCAGAGGAGAGUGGAAUUCCCGGUGUAGCGGUGAAAUGCGCAGAUAUCGGGAAGAACACCCGUGGCGAAGGCGGCUCUCUGGGACGGUACUGACGCUGAGACGCGAAAGCGUGGGGAGCGAACAGG
rnacentral:rRNA from 1 species